UCAAGGAGAUAGGGGAGAUCACCUAAGCAAAUGUGCAGGGGGAGAGGGUAAAAGGGCCAUGGGAUAAAAGCCUUACCGAGUAGGUAUUGGGAGAGGUCCUGGGAGCCAUACUGAGAGAAAAAUCGAGAGAGCACAGUGAAAGAAGACAAGGGAAGAAAGAGUUCUUUGCUCCGUUUAUACUGGGUUCUAAAUUCCUUAACCUUGUGUUCACUUUUGUCAAAAUUGUCUUUAGUGCUUAAACACUGUCCUUUCCUUGUCCCCAUGCACCAAAUUAAGAAGGUGUGGGUUUUAAAUCUGAAAAUUGGUCAUCACAGCAUUCAAAGGUUCAAGUAUGUGGAGGAGACCAAACUGAAAAGAAAGCAUCAUAGGUUUUAGACUGAAACAAAUCAGGGCUAACCAGUAUCCUAAGGUAAUGAAGUGACUGCAGCAGCUCCAGCCCUCACAUCUGUCUUCUACACCAUCCAGAAGAGAGAAAAACUUGUUACAGAAUUCCUAAUAAGAGGCCUGAGAUGCACCCCAAUUGGAGCAGUGGAGGCCGCCUGCUCUGCUUUGGACCACGCACAGCGUUGUGGAGACAGGAAAAGCCUGCUGUAGCGUGGCCUGGGCAGAGGUUUGUUCUCUGGGGCCAAGGGAAGAUUCAGCUUCUCUGGAAGCACAGAGAUUAUAAGACAGAAAGCAGGACUGCUGGGAAGCACAGAAUCGAUGAGGAGGAGGCCGCAGAGUCCAC